rnacentral:rRNA from 1 species
AUUGAACGCUGGCGGCAUGCCUUACACAUGCAAGUCGAACGGCAGCGGACCUUCGGGUGCCGGCGAGUGGCGAACGGGUGAGUAAUAUAUCGGAACGUACCUUUCAGUGGGGGAUAACGUAGCGAAAGUUACGCUAAUACCGCAUAUUCUGUGAGCAGGAAAGCAGGGGAUCGCAAGACCUUGCGCUGAUUGAGCGGCCGAUAUCAGAUUAGCUAGUUGGUGAGGUAAAGGCUCACCAAGGCGACGAUCUGUAGCGGGUCUGAGAGGAUGAUCCGCCACACUGGAACUGAGACACGGUCCAGACUCCUACGGGAGGCAGCAGUGGGGAAUAUUGCGCAAUGGGCGAAAGCCUGACGCAGCCAUGCCGCGUGUGUGAAGAAGGCCCUUGGGUUGUAAAGCACUUUC